AGGACGAACGCUGGCGGCGUGCUUAACACAUGCAAGUCGAGCGGAAAGGCCCUUCGGGGUACUCGAGCGGCGAACGGGUGAGUAACACGUGAGUAAUCUGCCCCUAGCUCUGGGAUAGCUCCGGGAAACCGGGAUUAAUACUGGAUACGACCACCUUAGACAUCUUUUGUGGUGGAAAGAAUUUCGGCUAGGGAUGAGCUCGCGGCCUAUCAGCUUGUUGGUGGGUAACGGCCUACCGAAGGCGACGACGGGUA
rnacentral:rRNA from 1 species